CGACGAGAUUUGAUAUCUAAUCUUGAUAGUUGUUCACAUUGUGAAGAUUCUCCGAUUAUCGUUUAUUGGUUUUGUUUCAUGAGAUAACUUGGCGAAGCCCUGGCUACCUUCUUCCUCUUUUCUGAAAAUUUUCUUUUGUUUUGAAAUGUUAGGGCUUUUUCUGCUAAGAUACAUAUGUUAACGUCUUCUGUGAAAUUGAAAAGGAUUUCAGACAAAUCAAUUAGUUUUAUUUUAGCUUCUAUUGAUAAUAUAUGUGGAUAUCCAAUUCAGUAAUCAUAAAAAGUUGAAGCUUUUGUGAGACUGUUUUGAUGGUAUUGAUAUUACGGUUUGUUUUUUCGAUUGGAGUUUGAGGAGGUUGGAAUGAAAAGGGUCUAUGCUUUUGAUUUUUGUGUGAGCGUGUGAUAUGAAUUGGUGAGUAACAUUGUCGAUUAUUGAUGAUUCACAUUCUUUUGGUCUUAGCUGUUUGUGAUUAGUUGAUUAUGUGGGAUAUUCACUGCGUUUGAGACCUUUUAUUAAGCAAGGUUGAUCCUGAGUGAAAUGGGUCUAUGGGGAUUUUGCUAAGGCCAAAGUUGAGAUCUUGGCUUUGCAUUCUUUUUUCAAGAAACCCAUUUAGUAAAAGAUAGAUGUUUUAAUUUUCUUUAACUUCAAUUCAUGGGGUUUGCAGCUGAAGGUCGUGGAAGCUGCAAGAGUGGAAAAGUGGAUAAUGUUUACACACCAGGAAGGAACUCCAUUUAUGAUCCCUACCACAGUCCAAAUGUGUUUAUGUAGUUUUUGUUUAGGAUUGCCGAUGCUGAAGAAAACCUAGGAUUUGGAAGUCAGAGAAGCUCAUUUGGCCAAGUCCCUGUUCUUCAUCCGUAUAGGUGACAAGGAAAAAGCGCUGGAACAACUCAAGGUAACAGAAAGCAAGACAGUUGCAGUAAGGCAAAAGAUGGACUUGGUGUUCUAUACGCUGCAGCUUGGUUUCUUUUACAUGGAUUUUGACCUCAUUUCUAAGAGCAUUGAGAAAGCGAAAAAGUAAGUUGUGGCCUGAGCAUUGAGAUAUGGACGCCCUUGGUUGAAGAGAAGAGCUGGGUUAGGCAUGGGUAUGGUUGCAGCCUAUAAUCCAAGUCUCCAUUAUCUCAUUGAAUCUCAUGGUUUUAUUGAAGAGGAUGCAAAAUCUUUUACAAUUUCUUUGCUUCUUUAAUGUAAAGCACUUCAUUGUAAAUGUUUGAAGUAUGUUUAUUGUACAGAAAUAAAAGUAUUAUUAUGUUCA